UACGUAGGGACCAAGCGUUGUCCGGAUUUAUUGGGCGUAAAGAGCUCGUAGGCGGCCUGCCACGUCGGAUGUGAAAGCUCAGGGCUUAACCCUGAGAGGCCAUUCGAUACGGGCAGGCUAGAGGUAGGUAGGGGAAAGUGGAAUUCCUGGUGUAGCGGUGAAAUGCGCAGAUAUCAGGAAGAACACCCGUGGCGAAGGCGGUUCUCUGGGACGGUACUGACGCUGAGACGCGAAAGCGUGGGGAGCGAACAGG
rnacentral:rRNA from 1 species